UUCAUACUUGAUCGAAUAGGUAUAUAAAGAAAUGUGAGUAACGAACGCAUCUAAGUUUACUUUAAAAAAAUGUUGUUAAAUAAUUUAAAUUUACACUUUAUAGUACUUAAUACUUACUUAAUUCCGGAAAAAGUAGUUUGAUAUUUUCGUCUUUGUACGAGACAUGCCUAAUAUGCAUUUACCGACUGGAGGAUUUAGAUAAGUCUAUAUUUUCACGUCACUCUGGAGAUGGAAAAAAGGUUAAGUCUGUGGCUUCGGAUCUAUGCUAAUCACGUGGCGUUCGGAAAAUCGCGAAGUAAGCUUCAUGAUUUGGCUUGCAAUUUAAAAAAAGGUGUAGGCAUCCUAUGGAAACAGUCACUGUAUAGGUCGGAGCGGUAGCGCCUUCUAACGGCGACACAUAAUAAAUAAAAAAAAAUGAAUUUGUUUCUGUAAAUCAGUUACAAUUAUUGGACAGGUCCCGGGUAUUAAAAUGAGGUUUAUGUUUGAUUUUAGAUAAGAAAACAAUUAUUAAAAAUAUGGAGUUACUGACGACAUAACAUUUCGAUUGAUAUUCUAUAGUUUUUUAGUUUACUGAACUUCACCAAAAGUUAAAGAAACUGCAAUUGACGCUACAACUACGUUACGUAAGUAAUUUCCAUGACCGGUACGUGAAGCACGAUAUAAGUUGUUUCAUACUAGAUAUUUCAAUUGGAAAAAUAAUUGAACGGAAUAAAACACUAUAUAGCGAUUUUUCA
rnacentral:lncRNA from 1 species